CUUGACUGUAGCUUGAAAUUGGGUUCGGGCUCUUCUUGCGCAGCCUAGGUGGGAGGCUAUGAAGCUCGGUCUUUGGACCGGGUGGAGCCAUCAGUGAGAGACCACUCUGGAGGAGCUAGAAUUCUAAUGGCGUUCCUUGAAGCAGGACGCUUGACAGUUUCAGGUGGGCAGUUUGACUGGGGCGGUCACCUCCUAAAAGGUAACGGAGGUGUGCAAAGGUUCCCUCAGGCUGGACGGAAAUCAGCCGUAGAGUGUAAAGGCAGAAGGGAGCUUGACUGCAAGACCUACAAGUCGAGCAGGGGCGAAAGCCGGCCUUAGUGAUCCGACGGUUCCGUGUGGAAGGGCCGUCGCUAAACGGAUAAAAGUUA
rnacentral:rRNA from 1 species